ensembl:lncRNA
CUCUCUCUCUAACCCAGUCUUCUCUCUACCCCAGUCCUCUCUCUACCCCAGUACUCUCUCUACCCCGGUCCUCUCUCUACCCCAGUUCUCUCUCUACCCAAGUCCUCUCUACACCCCGGUCCUCUCUCUACCCCAGUCCUCUCUCUACCCCAGUAUUCACUCUACCCCAGUAUUCUCUCUACCCCAGUAUUCACUCUACCCCAGACCUCUCUCUACCCCAGACCUCUCUCUACCCCGGUCCUCUCUCUACCCCAAUCCUCUAUCUCUCUCUACCCCAGUAUUCUCUCUCUACCCCAGUAUUCACUCUACCACAGUCCUCUCUCUACCCCAGUAUUCACUCUACCCCAGUCCUCUCUCUAUAUCUCUCUAACCCAGUAUUCUCUCUACACCCAGUAUUCUCUCUACCCCAGUAUUCUCUCUACCCCAGUAUUAACUCUACCCCAGUAUUCUCUCUAUCUCUCUCUACCCCAGUAUUCUCUCUACCCCAGGAUUCUCUCUACCCCAGUCCUCUCUCUACCCCAGUCCUCUCUCUACCCCAGUAUUCUCUCUACCCCAGGAUUCUCUCUACCCCAGUCCUCUCUCUACCCCAGUCCUCUCUCUACCCCAGUAUUAACUCUACCCCAGUAUUCUCUCUAUCUCUCUCUACCCCAGUAUUCUCUCUACCCCAGGAUUCUCUCUACCCCAGUCCUCUCUCUACCCCAGUCCUCUCUCUAUAUCUCUCUACCCCAGUAUUCUCUCUACACCCAGUAUUCUCUCUACCCCAGGAUUCUCUCUACCCCAGUCCUCUCUCUACCCCAGCACUCUCUCUCUCUCUCUCUACCCCAGUAUUCUCUCUACCCCAGUCCUCUCUCUACCCCAGCACUCUCUCUCUCUCUCUCUCUCUCUCUCUCUCUCUCUCUCUCUCUCUCUCUCUCUCCCAGUAUUCUCUCUACCACAGUCCCUCUCUCUACCUCAGUAUUCUCUCUAUCCCAGAAUUCUCUCUACCCCAUAAUUCUCUCUACCCCAGUAUUCUCUCUAUCCCAGUAUUCUCUCUACCCCAGUAUUCU